rnacentral:rRNA from 1 species
CGUUAAAGACGACGUAAACCCGGGUGGGUGUCGACGGUACACUUUCCCUCCGGGUUUGGCAGUUGGCUUGGAAGUGUAGAGUCUCUCACCUCCGCUUAUAAUUCCUUCCGAAUCAUAAUUUUCUGUGAUCCUUUCGCUUGUUGUAUGCUUGGGGAUGUUUGAGGCAGAUUUGUAACCGCCGUUUUGAGGCCAGCUUGCUGGUACCCAAACAGCGUUAGCAUCUUUUGUCUUGGACAUUUGAGUAUGGCUUACGGGCAUUUAUUGGUUCGAUCUGAUUGUAAGUUACGGACGCAUGCGACACGUGCUUUUCAUUUAGAUCGCUCCAGUUAAUGCUCUCGUACUCGCUCCCCAUGUAAAAGCCGGUCAUCUAUCCGACCCGUCUUGAAACACGGACCAAGGAGUUUAUCGUGUGCGCAAGUUUUUGGGUGUUAAAAACCUAAAAGCGAAAUGAAAGUAAAUGGCUCUUUAGAGUCUGAUGUGCGAUCUUGUAAAAAAGGGCAGCAUGGCCCCAUUCUAACUGUUUACAGUAGGGUGGAGGAAAAGCGUACGCGGUGAGACCCGAAAGAUGGUGAACUAUUCCUGAGCGGACGAAGCCCCAGGAAACUCUGGUGGAAGUCCGAAGCGGUCUGACCUGCAAUCCAUCGUCUGACUUGGGGAUAGGGGGGACAGACUAAUCCCACCAUCUACCAGCUGGUCCCU